rnacentral:rRNA from 1 species
GACGAACGCUGGCGGCGUGCCUAAUGCAUGCAAGUCGCACGCACGGCUCUUCGGAGCUGUGAGUGGCGCACGGCUGAGUAGCACGUGGGGACCUGCCCUCCAGUGGGGGAUAACGCCGCGAAAGCGACGCUAAUCCCGCAUCCGCUGCGCGUCUGCGCAGGAAAGCAGUGAUGCGCUGGCGGAGGGGCCCGCGGCCCAUCAGGUGGUUGGCGGGGUAGUGGCCCACCAAGCCGGUGGCGGGUAGCUGGUCUGUGAGGAUGACCAGCCAGACUGGGACUGAGAAACGGCCCAGACUCCUACGGGAGGCAGCAGCAAGGAAUUUUCGGCAAUGGGCGCAAGCCUGACCGAGCAACGCCGCGUGGUGGAUGACGGCCUUCGGGUUGUAAACACCUUUUAGGCGGGACGAUGAUGACGGUACCGCCCGAACAAGGCUCGGCUAACUCUGUGCCAGCCGCCGCCGUAACAC